UACGUAGGGUGCGAGCGUUUGUCCGGAAUUAUUGGGCGUAAAGGGCUCGUAGGCGGUCUGUUGCGUCAGGAGUGAAAACCCGGGGCUUAACCCCGAGCCUGCUUCUGAUACGGGCAGACUAGAGGUAUGCAGGGGAGAACGGAAUUCCUGGUGUAGCGGUGAAAUGCGCAGAUAUCAGGAAGAACACCCGUGGCGAAGGCGGCUCUCUGGUACGUGACUGACGCUGAGACGCGAAAGCGUGGGGAGCAAACAGG
rnacentral:rRNA from 1 species